GAUGAACGCUGGCGGCGUGCCUAAUACAUGCAAGUCGAGCGAACAGACGAGGAGCUUGCUCCUCUGACGUUAGCGGCGGACGGGUGAGUAACACGUGGAUAACCUACCUAUAAGACUGGGAUAACUUCGGGAAACCGGAGCUAAUACCGGAUAAUAUAUUGAACCGCAUGGUUCAAUAGUGAAAGACGGUUUUGCUGUCACUUAUAGAUGGAUCCGCGCCGCAUUAGCUAGUUGGUAAGGUAACGGCUUACCAAGGCGACGAUGCGUAGCCGACCUGAGAGGGUGAUCGGCCACACUGGAACUGAGACACGGUCCAGACUCCUACGGGAGGCAGCAGUAGGGAAUCUUCCGCAAUGGGCGAAAGCCUGACGGAGCAACGCCGCGUGAGUGAUGAAGGUCUUCGGAUCGUAAAACUCUGUUAUUAGGGAAGAACAAAUGUGUAAGUAACUAUGCACGUCUUGACGGUACCUAAUCAGAAAGUCACGGCUAACUACGUGC
rnacentral:rRNA from 1 species